GAUGAAGAACGUAGCGAAAUGCGAUAAGUAAUGUGAAUUGCAGAAUUCAGUGAACCAUCGAAUCUUUGAACGCACAUUGCGCCCGGCAGUAAUCUGCCGGGCAUGCCUGUCCGAGCGUCAUUUCUGCCCUCGAGCGAGUCCAGCAUCUAGGUGCUGGGCCCGCCCGGCGUUGGGGCACUACGGGAAGCCCUGUGCUGUCCCCCGUAGGCCCCGAAAUGAAGUGGCGGUCCUGCCGCGGCGCCCCCUGCGUAGUAUAACAGCUCGCUUCGGGACCCGGUGGAGGCCUGCCGUCAAACCUUACUCUCUAAGUUUGACCUCGGAUCAGGUAGGGUUACCCGCUGAACUUAAGCAUAGCAAUAAGCGGAGGA
rnacentral:misc_RNA from 1 species